rnacentral:rRNA from 1 species
CGGGUGGUAAUGCCGGAUGCUCCAGUUGGACGCAUGUUCCUCUGGGAAAGCUUCUGCGGUAUGGGAUGGGGUCGCGUCCUAUCAGCUUGAUGGCGGGGUAACGGCCCACCAUGGCUUCGACGGGUAGCCGGCCUGAGAGGGCGACCGGCCACAUUGGGACUGAGAUACGGCCCAGACUCCUACGGGAGGCAGCAGUGGGGAAUAUUGCACAAUGGGCGCAAGCCUGAUGCAGCGACGCCGCGUGCGGGAUGACGGCCUUCGGGUUGUAAACCGCUUUUGACUGGGAGCAAGCCCUUCGGGGUGAGUGUACCUUUCGAAUAAGCACCGGCUAACUACGUGCCAGCAGCCGCGGUAAUACGUAGGGUGCAAGCGUUAUCCGGAAUUAUUGGGCGUAAAGGGCUCGUAGGCGGUUCGUCGCGUCCGGUGUGAAAGUCCAUCGCUUAACGGUGGAUCCGCGCCGGGUACGGGCGGGCUUGAGUGCGGUAGGGGAGACUGGAAUUCCCGGUGUAACGGUGGAAUGUGUAGAUAUCGGAA